rnacentral:rRNA from 1 species
AGCGAACGCUGGCGAGGCCUAACACAUGCAAGUCGAGCGCCGUAGCAAUACGGAGCGGCAGACGGGAGAGUAACACGUGGGAACGUGCCCUUUGGUUCGGAACAACCCAGGGAAACUUGGGCUAAUACCGGAUAAGCCCUUACGGGGAAAGAUUUUUCGCCGAAGGAUCGGCCCGCGUCUGAUUAGCUAGUUGGUGGGGUAACGGCCCACCAAGGCGACGAUCAGUAGCUGGUCUGAGAGGAUGAUCAGCCUCACUGGGACUGAGACACGGCCCAGACUCCUACGGGAGGCAGCAGUGGGGAAUAUUGGACAAUGGGCGCAAGCCUGAUCCAGCCAUGCCGCGUGGGUGAUGAAGGCCCUAGGGUUGUAAAGCCCUUUCGGCGGGGAAGAUAAUGACGGUACCCGCAGAAGAAGCCCCGGCUAACUUCGUGCCAGCAGCCGCCGCGGUAA